rnacentral:rRNA from 1 species
ACCUGGGAACUGCAUUCGAAACUGGCAGGCUAGAGUCUUGUAGAGGGGGGUAGAAUUCCAGGUGUAGCGGUGAAAUGCGUAGAGAUCUGGAGGAAUACCGGUGGCGAAGGCGGCCCCCUGGACAAAGACUGACGCUCAGGUGCGAAAGCGUGGGGAGCAAACAGGAUUAGAUACCCUGGUAGUCCACGCCGUAAACGAUGUCGACUUGGAGGUUGUGCCCUUGAGGCGUGGCUUCCGGAGCUGACGCGUUAAGUCGACCGCCUGGGGAGUACGGCCGCAAGGUUAAAACUCAAAUGAAUUGACGGGGGCCCGCACAAGCGGUGGAGCAUGUGGUUUAAUUCGAUGCAACGCGAAGAACCUUACCUACUCUUGACAUCCAGAGAACUUUCCAGAGAUGGAUUGGUGCCUUCGGG